UCUUAAGGGUUGGGGGGUAGUAUUAGAAGCUCUGGAAACCUAAAAUUUUUGGCGGUUUUUUAGGCUAGUUAGAGGAACCUGUUCUGUGAUAGAUGUCCCACGUUGGGUUUAACUUUUUUUGAGGUAUAUAUACCGCCGUCGUAAAGCAAUUUUUUUAGAGAUUGUUGUUUAAUUAGAAUUAAGGUGAUGACAGGUCAAGGUGUAGCUUAUGAAAGAGGGUGAAAUGGGUUACAAUAUUUGAUUAAUAUUAUGAAUAUGAUUUUAAGAAAUUUUUCAUUGAAAGUGGAUUUAAAAGUAAAAUUGAGAUUAAAAUGCGGAUUUGGUUUUGGCUCUGGAAGAUGU
rnacentral:rRNA from 1 species